AACGAACGCUGGCGGCAUGCCUAACACAUGCAAGUCGAACGAGACCUUCGGGUCUAGUGGCGCACGGGUGCGUAACGCGUGGGAACCUGCCCUUAGGUUCGGAAUAACUCCCCGAAAGGGGUGCUAAUACCGGAUAAUGUCUUCGGACCAAAGAUUUAUCGCCUUUGGAUGGGCCCGCGUUGGAUUAGCUAGUUGGUAGGGUAAAAGCCUACCAAGGCGACGAUCCAUAGCUGGUCUGAGAGGAUGAUCAGCCACACUGGGACUGAGACACGGCCCAGAAUCCUACGGGAGGCAGCAGUGGGGAAUAGUGGACAAUGGGCGAAAGCCUGAUCCAGCAAUGCCGCGUGAGUGAUGAAGGCCUUAGGGUUGUAAAGCUCUUUUACCCGGGAUGAUAAUGACAGUACCGGGAGAAUAAGCUCCGGCUAACUCCGUG
rnacentral:rRNA from 1 species